rnacentral:lncRNA from 10 species
GAGGAACUCAGGUGCAGAGGGCCCAGCUGCUGUGGGAGGGACAAAGCUGGAGCUGCUGGUGGAGGAGAGGCGCCUGUGCGAGAGUCUCCAAGUGCAGGUGAACCACAAGCGUGGCUGCAGUGCUCGGCAGGUGCCUGGCCGCCUGGGGGUGCUGAGCCCCUGACAUCCUCUUUGGCCGGGCCCCUCUCCAGUGGCCCUCCCACCCCCUCUCCCUGCCCCUGCCCAGGCUGAGUCCCCCCACCCCAACCUCUGUGCUGUCCUCACCACACAGCAUCACCAGUCCCUGCCCCAUACAGGCAUGGGGCUCCCCUUAAAGGCUGUCCUCACCACACAGCAUCACCAGUGCCUGCCCCACACACGCAUGGGGCUCCCCUUAAAGCAGGUUUCGUCUUUUGUCUCCCACCUGUGAGAGGUCAGCCCUCUGUGGAGAUCUGAGCUCUGUCUCUCCCAUGGGACCUCAUUUCUGUCCUCUCCUCAGCCUCUGUCCCUACUGCCUCCUCCCAGCUGCUCAGAUCCAGAGCAGAACUUCCUGAAGAGGCCACACUGUGCCCCCAAACAGAAAGGGGCUUCAAGAACACCUGAGGUGGGCCUCAGCACAGGCACCAACCACCAGAAUAAGCUGUCUUUGCUCCCAUUGGACCUGGCCUCCAUGGAUCCACCUGCACAGUGGGCCAAAGUGGGGAGGCAGCCAAGGUUGGGGGGAUUCCCAAGGGGAGGUGCCAGGUGGUGUUGGGUCGGGGGGUCCCCUGGGGGUGGGUGCCCAGGUGGUGGUGACUGCUGGAGGGGCUUGCCAGAGGAGACUCCGAGAGAAUCACUCAGAGGGACCUGACUGUGGACACCCAGAGAGGGGCAGGACCAGGAAUAUGCACCUGGCCUCCACCCACCAGCCCCAACAAAGUGGCCCUGGCCUGGGGACCUGUAUCACAGGAUGGACACCUACCCUGGCCCUGCCCCUGCCCCAAGGCUUAGCUUUCAGUGGAGUUGUGAUGGCAGGUGUACCUGGAGUCUCAGGUGUGACUGAAGCACACUGAUGAGUUGCAGGACCACAGCAGUGAAGGCAGAGGCACAGGGCAGGCGCGGGCAGCGCAGCCAGGAGGCUCGGCCGGAGCCCAGAGCAGGGUCUGGGCUCCAGGAGGUCCGAGCUGGGCAGAGCAGAGUUGUGCCUGUCUGGGUAGUACUGGCAGGGGCUGAGCUGGAGACCUGGGCAGAGGGCAGGCUGGCUCCAGAGGCACCCACGGAGCCAGGGGCCCGAGGGCAAGAGAUGUGAGGAGAGCCAUUCACAUUGCUCCCGCCUCCCAGAGCAUGCUGGAGAUGUCAGGAGGCCAAGAGAAAACGCCCAAGGAAGGCUGUGCCUGCCAAAGGCCCCAGGGCACAGGAGGGAGGGGCCUGGGGUCACCCAUGGCCCAGGUGUCUGCUUCUCCUCUUUCUCUUGGGGAAGAGGGUACUGCCCACACCAUCCCCAGGGCACAAACCCGAGCAGUGUCCAUGUCUGACUUCCAUGUUUCCAUGGCCUCUCUGCACACCCACUGUCACUCUCAGCCGUCUGGCCACCUCCCUGGCCAGGCUCCGGCCGCCAAACAGCCACAUCACAGCACCUGCCAGCCUCCCAGAGAGCUUCUGGGCCACCCACCCUCUAACACAUGAUACUUCACCAGGCACCGUCACCCACGAACACCUCCAGCAGCCACGCUGAAGAGGCUGAGUCCAGAUCACACUGAGGCCCCCACGGCCCCACGUCUUUCCACCUACAUUUGAAUCCUGCACCGUCUCACUGUUUCCCAGUGACUCUCAGCCAGUGAGAGAGGUCUGGCCUUGCCACACCCUCCCCACUCCGCCCUCUGCCCCACAGUUGGCCAGGCGGUCAGCAAGACCCCGCUGCUGACCUGUUCAUGUUUCCCUUCGAGACAUUCUUUCCCAGGCCUCUUCCUUCCUAGAUGGAUUUUCGGAGAGCUCCCCUCUUAGUUUGCAGUUUCUCCUGGGCAACAUUAUCCACUCACACCCUUUGCUAUGGCCAGUGUGCCCAGGAAUGCUACAUGUGAGACCCAGACAGCCUCUGAUGAGUCCAACACCUCUACUGGGGUAUCCACACAUGUCCCUCCAUCCCCAACUCAGUGAACGGCACCCUGUCAUUGCCACACACAGAGCCUGGGAGCCACCAUCAGCUCCUCUUUUUACCCUACAGCCAAUGGCUAACUCCUAAUAUCAACCCAGACCUUCUCUUUACCCCUUGCCAUUUCUGGAUCCAGACCGUUCAUGGUCUCAGGCCCUUCACCCCACUUCUUACCAGUUCUCCUUGCCUCCUGGUACCUAGCACAAAGCCAGG